AUUGAACGCUGGCGGCAGGCCUAACACAUGCAAGUCGAGCGAGCGGCGGACGGGUGAGUAAUGUCUGGGAAACUGCCUGACGGAGGGGGAUAACUACUGGAAACGGUAGCUAAUACCGCAUACCAUCAGAUGUGCCCAGGUGGGUUUAGCUAGUAGGUGGGGUAGCGGCUCACCUAGGCGACGAUCCCUCGCUGGGCUGAGUGGCUGACCAGCCCCACGGGGACAGAGACACGGUCCAGAGUCCUACGGGAGGCAGCGGUGGGGAAUAGUGCACAAUGGGCGCAAGCCUGAUGCAGCCAUGCAGCGUGUGUGAAGAAGGCCUUAGGGUUGUAGAGCACUUUCAGCGGGGAGGCGUUACCCGCAGAAGAAGCACCGGCUAACUCCGUGCCAGCAGCCGCGGUAAUAC
rnacentral:rRNA from 1 species